rnacentral:rRNA from 1 species
GAUGAGCAUGCGUCCCAUUAGCUAGUUGGUAAGGUAACGGCUUACCAAGGCUACGAUGGGUAGGGGUCCUGAGAGGGAGAUCCCCCACACUGGUACUGAGACACGGACCAGACUCCUACGGGAGGCAGCAGUGAGGAAUAUUGGACAAUGGGCGCAAGCCUGAUCCAGCCAUGCCGCGUGCAGGAUGACGGUCCUAUGGAUUGUAAACUGCUUUUAUACGAGAAGAAACAUCCCGACGUGUCGGGACUCGACGGUAUCGUAAGAAUAAGGAUCGGCUAACUCCGUGCCAGCAGCCGCGGUAAUACGGAGGAUCCAAGCGUUAUCCGGAAUCAUUGGGUUUAAAGGGUCCGUAGGCGGUUUAAUAAGUCAGUGGUGAAAGCCCAUCGCUCAACGGUGGAACGGCCAUUGAUACUGUUAGACUUGAAUUAUUAAGAAGUAACUAGAAUAUGUAGUGUAGCGGUGAAAUGCUUAGAGAUUACAUGGAAUACCAAUUGCGAAGGCAGGUUACUACUAAUGGAUUG